GAUGAACGCUGGCGGCGUGCCUAAUACAUGCAAGUCGAGCGGACGGACGAGACGCUUGCCUCUCUGAUGCUUGCGGCGGAUGUGUGAGUAACACGUGGAUAACCUACCUAUAAGACUGGGAUCAUUCCGGGAAACCGGAGCUAACCCCGGAUAAUAUCUUGAACCGCAUGGGUCAAAAGUGCACGCCGGUCUUGCUGUCUCUCAUAGAUGGAUCCGGGCUGGAUGAGCUAGUUGGUAAGGUAACGGCUUACCACGGCAACGAUGCGUAGCCGACCGGAGAGGGUGAGCGGCCACACUGGAACUGAGACACGGUCCAGAGUCCUACGGGAGGCAGCAGUAGGGAACCUUGCGCAAUGGGCGAAAGCCUGGCGGAGCAACGCCGCGUGAGUGGUGAAGGUCUUCGGAUCGUAAAGCUCUGUUAUUAGGGAAGAACCUAUGUGGGGGGAGCUGUGGACGUCUUGACGGUACCUAGUCAAGAAGCCACGGCUAACUACGUG
rnacentral:rRNA from 1 species